CAGCUGGAAGGAAAGGAAAGCUGCUCUGAUGUACAGGGUUUUUACUAAUGGGGACGGGGAAGAGGAGGAGGAGGCCACAGGAGCCUUGGUGCAAAGGUGGACAAUGGGAAGCCCGUGGUGUGCUAAGCUCUACAAUAUGUAAGACAUGAAGACCCCUAUGGCAUAAUUGGACCCCACCAGAUUUGGCAUUGGCUGCACAAUGUAAAGCAUGAUGCUAUGAAGGAAGUAAUAAGAUGUUAUUAUACUGAAUGCUAGUGUGCCAUUCCAACACAUAUGAAGGCAUGUGAUGCAGCAACUUUGCUGAUGCUAAGCAAGUCUGGACCUCGUCAAUACCUGGAUGGAAAACUGUCUGGGAACCCCAGAUAUGUCACCUUGAGUUCCAUGGAAGAAAA